GCUCUCGUAAGACUUGUUAUAAAACUUAGAAGUUAAAACAAGAUAAAAACCAAACACAAUAACCAAUGGUUGUGCCAACUGGGACGGUGGAGAGAACCGGUCUCCAGCGACCUUUGGUGGAUCCGACGGUCUCGGAGCGAAAACCUCACAAUGAUGUCGGACUCGAGAGCGUUUUGACGGAGAGUAGCCUUCCUUAUCUGAGGCGCGUGUACCUAGGAUCGUGCAUAGAGAUGAAACUACUUUUCCGGUUGGCACUUCCGGCUAUACUUGUCUAUUUAGUUAACAGCGGCAUGAGUAUCUCCGCUCGUAUCUUCGCCGGACAUCUCGGCAGUCAGGAACUCGCCGCCGCGUCCCUCGGAAAUAGCUGCUUCUCUCUUGUCUAUGGCCUCAUGUUGGGCAUGGGCAGUGCAGUCGAGACACUAUGUGGACAAGCAUAUGGGGCCCAACGCUAUGACAUGCUUGGGAUCUAUCUCCAAAGAGCAACAAUAGUCCUUGCUUUAGUGGGUUUGCCAAUGACAGUACUAUACACCUUCUCAUACCCGAUUCUACUUCUGUUAGGCGAACCUAAAACAGUAUCAUACAAAGGUUCUUUGUACAUCGCCGGACUCAUCCCUCAAAUCUUUGCCUACGCAGUCAACUUCACGGCCCAGAAGUUCCUCCAGGCCCAAAGCGUAGUGAUCCCCAGCGCGUACAUCUCAGGCGCCGCCCUUCUCCUCCAGAUCUUGUUUACGUGGAUCACCGUUUACGUAAUGGGCAUGGGCCUUAUGGGAAUCGCUUGCGUUCUUACUAUCUCUUGGUGGGUUAUAGUUGUGGCUCAAGCUUUGUAUAUUAAGAAUAGUCAAAGGUUCAGACACACGUGGACUGGUCUUAGCUCGAGAUCGUUCCAAGGUCUUUGGAGUUUUUCUAAACUCUCUGUUGGCUCCGCUGUUAUGAUCUGUCUGGAAAUGUGGUAUUCACAGAUUCUGGUUCUUCUCGCUGGUCUGCUUAAGGACCCUGCUCUCUCUCUAGAUUCUCUUUCGAUUUGUAUGGCAGUUUCAGCAUUAUCAUUCAUGGUCUCGGUCGGUUUCAACGCGGCUGCAAGUAUACGAACAAGUAAUGAGCUCGGAGCGGGAAAUCCAAAAUCGGCGUUGUUCUCUACAUGGACGGCCACUUUCGUUUCCUUCGUGAUCUCCGUCGCGGAGGCAGUCAUCCUGUUGGCGUCACGUGAUUACAUUAGCUACAUUUUCACGUCGGACGCUGACGUGGCUAAAGCCGUUUCUGACCUCUGUCCUUUUCUCGCCGUUACAGUUAUCCUCAACGGAAUCCAACCCGUCUUGUCCGGUACGUAUAUGAGUGGCAGUGGGGUGUGGAUGGCAGACAUUCGUGGCGUAUGUGAAUGUUGGUUGUUACUAUGUUAUUGGUAUUCCCAUUGGUUGUGUUCUUGGGUUUACUUUCAAUUUGCAAGCCAAGGGAAUAUGGACCGGGAUGAUUGGAGGUACCCUCAUGCAAACCCUCAUUUUACUUUACGUCACGUACCGAACAGAUUGGGAUAAAGAGGUGGAAAAAGCUAGGAAACGAUUGGAUAUGUGGGACGACAAGAAGAAUUCUCUCCAAAAUUAGUUAUUAAGUCUGCCGGAAUGGAAGACCAAAAAAGAAUAACAUGUGACAUGUGUGGUCUGUGGAGGUAUUUGAAAAGAAGAUCUUCUUUUUGAAGCUUUUUUCUUUGUAAUAAUAUUUGUCGGCUGAUCUAAUGGAUGGUUUUAUCAAAUCUAUUUAAAUUUGUUUUAAAAUUGAUCUAUUGUAUAUUACUCGAAUACCGUCUUUUAAGUAUUUAUCCGGGAA